rnacentral:rRNA from 1 species
UACAUGAGUAGCAAACGUUAAUCAUGAUAGUUGGGUGUAAAAAAUACUUGGACUUUCUGAUGGGUGUUAAUUUACCACAAUAAGAAAAAAAAUAAAUUGAAUUAGUAGUUUUUGUAGAAAGUUAAAGAUAAAAUUUCUUAAUUUUUUAUAAUAAUCAUUUGAUGAAGAUAACCUAAUUAAUUUAUUUAGUGUUUAUGUAUGAAAGUAUAGGAACUGAAAAGGAUUAGUGACCCUUGUAAACUGUACUGUAAAAUAUCGAUAUCAACAGAUGGGAAUUUUGUAAAGUUAACACGUAAAUAUCGUACCUGGGUAGUACAACCGCAAGGUUCAAACUUAAAAAAAAUUGGCGGGACCUGAUUUAAUGGUGGGGCAUGUGAUUUAAUUCGGUAAUCCUCGCAAAAUCUUACUAACAUUCUAAUAAUUUAAUACAUAAUUUAACAUAUUUGUAUAAAAAUUGUUUUGAGUACUGCAUGGCUGUCGUCAGUUCGAAUUGUGAAACGUUAAAUUAAGUUUUAAUAGCGAACGCAACCCUAAAUAUAGCUUAUUUAAUACCUUAAAAAUUUGAGGUAUGUUAGGAUGAGGGCAAGUCUUUACGAUCUUUAAAUGUUAGGCUAUCCAUUUGUUACAAUGAGAAAAACAAAGAAUCUUUUACAGUUAAUUGGAAAGAACUUCUAAAAAUUCUCUUAGUUCGAAUUAUUUAAUGAAAUUUUUAAAUAUGAAGGCGGAAUCAUUAGUAAUCGUAAAAUAGUACGUUACGGUGAAUAUACACAUUAGGUUUGCACACACCGCCCAUCACGCUCGAAAAGUUUUUUGAAUUAAAAUUAAAUUAUGUCGAACGUGAUUAUAACGUAUUGAUAUUUUAAAAUAGAUUUAAAAGGUGAUUGGAGUGAAG